rnacentral:lncRNA from 1 species
AGUAGCAGUAGUAAUAGUAAUAAUGUAUUGAAUCAAUAUUUCUCAUUUCAAGUCAGAUUGAAUUACAGAUUAAAAAACGGAGCUCUGUGAACUACCCUUUAAUUGAAUUUUUUAGCUUUCAGAAUUUAUAAUCCUGAAAGUAACCUUCUUAUAUUACCGUCAAUAUUGAAAUGUGACUAUUUUCUUUAAAGUACUGAUUUAACGUUUAACAUUAGUGUCAAGUGAUAUACACAAUUCGAGUAUGAAUCCAAACCAUGUGGAGCAACAAAAUAUAACAAACUAUUAAUUUCAAUUUCUCAAGAAGUGUUCUGGAUUGACAUUGAUUCAGAGAGCAGUCUCUCCACACAAACAGCUAACUUCUCGCUCUGGCAUCUGGAAGACCUUCGUAGUUUAGUGUUUUGUCAUUUCGUUUCUUACAAACUGUCAUUCUGAGAGAAACAGCGUGACCAUGUUGAUUAGAGUAACCUUUCGGGCCGGGAGUGGAAAUAUGCUGUCAGCUCAUUACAAAAAUAUAUAAGCUCUCACAUUCAAUUACUCACUUAGUAACACAAGAUUAGUUCAUGGUAGCUGCCAACACCGAGGUCAACAAAAAUCACGCUAAUCAGAUGAGCUGGAACUUGCGGUGUGUCGGUUUUUAUGGCCUUUCCUCCUAGCUGUAUCCCCCGACUGUCUUUUUCAACAGCGGUGGCCUUCUCAAUACCCUCCUUCAAACAGACGACAGAAGUUCGCCAGGUAAACAACAAUAGGAUGUACGAAGGUUUUUGGCGUGCCCGCACAACCAGAAACCCGUACUGGCCAGCUGUACAGUGACUGUGGCUCAUACACUGUCUGUCCUGGACCAAGAGCAGGUCACUGCUGACAGUGCAAGGUAUGAUACACUGUUUCUCCGUAGACCAGGAAUGUUCUCAACUGUAUUUUAUUUUGAGACAGAAUAAUCCUGUCUGAUGAAUGGGGAGUAAAGUUUAUAAAGUUUUUAUAGUUGUUUUUUGUUGUUCCUGAGCCUCUAGACUGUAUUUUUCUUUUCUACAAAAUAACUUUAUUUAAAACACAACAUUCGUUGCACUGAAUUACGGAUUUCCUCCUCAGAAAAAAAAUAAAC